rnacentral:misc_RNA from 1 species
AAACCUACGCCAUGACCAAUGUCAACGAGUACUGGGCGGAGGCAGUACAGAGUUACUUUGGCGUAAAUACCCACAGCGCCACGGCUAAUGGCGUACACGGCCCAGUCAGCACCAGGGACAAACUGAGGACCUAUGACCCCACUGUGUACGGACUGAUCCAGGAGAUCUUCCCGUGUAACAACAACUACAUCAAGAGGUGUGAUAAGUCACGUGCGAGCGAGGCUGCCCAAACUCUGCGGAUGAACUGUGACUCAUCCGGAACAGGCACAACUGCUGACUGCAAAGAUAACAAUAAAUACUGCCCAAGCUGGGCUAAAAAUGGCGAAUGUCAGAAGAACCCGAGUUACAUGUUGCCCAACUGUAAGCUCAGCUGUAACCGUUGCUCUGGCGUGAAUUGCGUAGAUAAUAACUCAAACUGUCAGAAUUGGGCCUCGAGAGGGGAGUGCAACAAAAACCCCGGGUACAUGCUCUCGAAUUGCAAGAAGAGCUGCAACGUCUGCUAGGAGUUGAAAUGGGACAACAAUAUCGCCGUAACUCGGUAAAAGUGCAUAGGUAUUGAAGAACGAUGAAGACCACUCUGAUCUUGUUUAUUACAGCGGUCUCUUCAGCCGCUGUGAUCAGCUUAAGGGCGUCCAGGGCUGCGGGAAAGAGACCAGGUUCUCCCACCAAUUCCCACAGCUGCAGUUACGUAAGAUCUGUACCCAGUAGCCUGCGCAGUCCCACGAACAUGGGUCCUAAAGGGUUGGAUACGUUUUACCAGAAAUACACUGAGGCUUAUGGAAUACCGGUGCUUGGAUCCAGAAACGUCCCAAAUGAUGCACUCCGCCGCGCCUGCUACACCGUGCGCUUUCUCUUCGCCGACCGCCUCGAUGUCCGCACUGCGUAUUACCAGCGCUUCGGCCGCUUUGCCGUCAUGAGUAAAAACGAGGUCACCACCGACAUCCCAGAGCACUCCCACCUCGAUCCCACCUACUGGGACAAGCGUGCACGUGGUCUCGGGGCUACACUCUCAGCACCGGUUGCAACAAGCGCAGAGGAGAACCUCCUUUGCUACACUAAAGACGGGUACCGCAGUGAAGACAUCGCCCUCCAUGAGUUUGCGCAUGCGCUUCAUAUCUUAGGCGCCACCUAUAGUGUGUCCACUUUCCAGAGCCGCCUCAAGAGUGCCUAUAAUAGCGCCAAAUCCAGAGGAUUAUGGGCAAAAACCUACGCCAUGACCAAUGCCAAC